rnacentral:rRNA from 1 species
AGUCGAGGGAGGCCGGGCCUUCGGGCCCGAGUCGACCGGCGGACGGGUGAGUAACACGUGACCAACCUACCUUCGAGAGGGGGAUAACCUGGGGAAACCCGGGCUAAUACCGCAUGAAGCACUCUGGUCGCAUGACCUAAGUGUGAAAGGGGGCCUCUGCUUGCAAGCUCCCACUCGAAGAGGGGGUCGCGACGUAUCAGCUAGUUGGUAGGGUAACGGCCUACCAAGGCUACGACGCGUAGUGGGUCUGAGAGGACGACCCGCCACAUUGGGACUGAGAUACGGCCCAGACUCCUACGGGAGGCAGCAGUGGGGAAUAUUGCGCAAUGGCCGAAAGGCUGACGCAGCGACGCCGUGUGUGGGAGGAAGCCCUUCGGGGUGUAAACCACUGUCAGGGGGGAAGAAACCAGGGCGGUCGAAUAGGCCGUUCUGCUGACGGUACCUCCAAAGGAAGCGCCGGCUAACUCCGUGCCAGCAGCCGCGGUAAGACGGAGGGCGCAAGCGUUGUUCGGAAUUACUGGGCGUAAAGCGCGGGCAGGCGGCCCGUUAAGUCUGCGGUGAAAUCCCGGGGCUCAACCCCGGAUAUGCCGCGGAUACUGGCGGGCUAAAGGACCGGUAGAGGCGAGUGGAAUUCCUGGUGUAGCGGUGGAAUGCGUAAAUAUCAGGAAGAACACCGGUGGCGAAGGCGGCUCGCUGGGCCGGGUUCUGACGCUCAGCCGCGAAAGCGUGGGGAGCAAACAGGA